ensembl:lncRNA
CUCUCCUUUUCUGUAGCAGCUUCCUGUCCUGCUUCAGACUCUGAGCUCAGCCCUGCUUCCGCCUUCCAAUCUCCUUGCAGUUCCUGAACUGGCCUCCCGGCCUGGCCUUCUUGCUUCCACCCCUGCGGCUCUCUGCAUCCUCUGUAGGCCUGGCCCUGCCCUCUCUGCUUCCAGGAAGUCCUCCUAGCAGCCCCGUCCGUGCUGGUCUCCACCUAUGAGUGAGAACAUAGGAUAUUUGUCUUACUGUGUCUGGCCUCCAUCCAUUUUUCUGUAAAUGACAAGACUUCAAUCUUCCUUGUGGUGAAUCAUUCUCCAUUGUACAAAAACCCUGGACAAGAUGCUAACAAAGUGAACUCAGUAGUCUGUUGAUAAGAUCACACUCAAUCAUGGAGUUGGUUUCAUUCUGGGGACACAGAGGUGGUGCAACACAGGCAAAUUAUAGAUGUAUGACAUCAACAAAUAGCAUGAAGGCUAAAAAUUAAACAACCAGUUACCGGGGAUCGAACUCAGGACCUUGUGCUUGCCAGGCAGGUGUGGCACCACUGAGGUAAAUCCCUGGACCAAAAUGACCAUCUCAAUAGAAGCAUCUAAAAAGCUUCAGCAUCCCUUCAUGAUGGCAAAUUAGGUACAGCAGGAUCACAGUUUGACACAGUAAAGGCGUCACUGGACAAAUCUAUUACAACAUCGUAGUAAAUGGGGAAACAAAAUGUUUCUCCUCAGAUCCAGAACAGGACAACGGUGUCCACACUCUCCGCUCUUACUCAAGAGACGGUUCAUUUCUGGCACUUGCUGCUUCACAUCGUGUUCUCUGCUUGUCCAUUUUUUCACUAAAGACAACUUUGUCGACCGCACUUUUGGGUAACUCCAGUCCCUGGCACACAGCAAGACCUCAAUAAUUGCUUGUAGAAUAAACAUAUGCAUGAAACAGUAGAAAACUGCUAGGCAACUCACCGUUUGACGGGUGGUUUUCUGUAUAAAACCAAGUGCUGUCAAUAGAACACAUGAGCUAGCCUGACACAGUGAAGGGGCUGGGAUCAGCUACAGAGAUCUUCAGAAAAGUAUUUGGCCCUGAUCUUGCGUCAAGGCGAUGUCCAGAGCAGCUGUCUUUAAUGUGCCUGUGCUCAAAUUCAAUGUAGACUAAAUGUAUAUGGAUAUUUAAAUAGAUUGUUUCUUUUUUCCAGUGCUGAGGAUUUCAUCCAGGACCUCACACUGAGUUACACUUCAGCCCUUUUUAAAUUUUAAGACAAGGUUUCACUAAAUUGCCCAAGCUCCUACCUUAGCCUCCUGAGUAGCUGGGAUUAUAGCUGUGCAUUGCUGUACCGGGCUUGAAAAGAGAUUCUUAAGCUAUUUGUCAGCCUGGGCUCCUGAAGGAUGACAUAGAGCAAGCUCGGCUCCUCUCGCCCCUCCAGCCAUUCCAAACCACAUCUACAGCACAAGCUAAAAAACGGACUCUCUCACAUCGAGCCAAUGACCUAUCAUUCCCAAGUUACAGCAGCACAACUCGUACUAGCUAGACCUUGAAACCAGCCUAUAUAUAUGUCCAUCAUCGGGUGAAUGGAUAAAGAAAAGUGGUAUUUGUACACAAUGGAGUACUACUCUGCCUUAAAGAAGGAUACACUGGAGCGUUAAGAAAAAUAAAUCAGGCUCACGAGAGGGGAUGGAAAAAGAAUGAAGAUGUGUUACGUGCAUGCACCAACUCCCCACGAUGAAUGUAAU